GAUGAACGCUAGCGGCAGGCCUAAUACAUGCAAGUCGAACGGUAAGUAUGGUAGCAAUACUGUACCAAGAGUGACGCACGGGUGCGUAACACGUGUGCAACCUACCCCUUUACAGGAGUAUAGCUCGGGGAAACCCGGAUUAAUCCUUCAUAACAUCAUUAGGUGGCAUCACAGGAUGAUUAAAGAUUUAUCGGUAAAGGAUGGGCAUGCGUCUGAUUAGCUAGUUGGUAGUGUAACGGACUACCAAGGCGACGAUCAGUAGGGGUAACUGAGAGGUUGACCCCCCACACUGGCACUGAGAUACGGGCCAGACUCCUACGGGAGGCAGCAGUAGGGAAUAUUGGUCAAUGGGUGAGAGCCUGAACCAGCCAUGCCGCGUGCAGGAAGAAGGCCCUUCUGGGUUGUAAACUGCUUUUUGCCAGGGGCUAAAACGUCCAUGCGUGGAAAAUUGGAAAUGUACCUGGUGAAUAAGCCACGGCUAACUACGUGCCAGCAGCCGCGGUAAUACGUAGGUGGCAAGCGUUGUCCGG
rnacentral:rRNA from 1 species